rnacentral:rRNA from 1 species
UACAGAGGGGACCAGCGUUAUUCGGAAUUAUUGGGCGUAAAGGGCGCGUAGGCGGCCAUGCGUGUCUUCCGUGAAAUCCCUCGGCUUAACUGAGGACGUGCGGAAGAAACUGCAAGGCUCGAGUCCGGGAGAGGGGGGUGGAAUUCCCAGUGUAGCGGUGAAAUGCGUAGAUAUUGGGAGGAACACCGGUGGCGAAGGCGGCCCCCUGGACCGGUACUGACGCUGAGGCGCGAAAGCGUGGGUAGCAAACGGG